AUUGAACGCUGGCGGCAGGCCUAACACAUGCAAGUAGACCGAGUGGAGGACGGGUGAGUAAUGUCUGGGAAACUGCCUGAUGGAGGGGGAUAACUACUGGAAACGGUAGCUAAUACCGCAUACCAUCAGAUGUGCCCCGAUGGGAUUAUCUUGUGGGUGGGGUAACGGCUCACCAAGGCUACGAUCCCUAGCUGGUCGGAGAGGAUGACCAGCCACACUGGAACUGAGACACGGUCCAGACUCCUACGGGGGGAAGCAGGGGGGAAUAUUGCACAAUGGGCGCAAGCCUGAUGCAGCCAUGCCGCUUGGAUUAAGAAGGCCUUCGGGUUGUAAAGUACUUUCAGCGUGGAGGCGUUACCCGCAGAAGAAGCACCGGCGAACUCCGUGCCAGCAGCCGCGGUAAUUC
rnacentral:rRNA from 1 species